ensembl:ncRNA C43G2.30 ncRNA
AAAAGAUUUGCCGUCCGCAGGGUUCGAACCUGCGCCCUCCUGAGAGGACUGCGACCUGAACGCAGCGCCUUAGACCACUCGGCCAGAACGGCGGUG